rnacentral:tRNA from 2 species
CGCGGGGUGGAGCAGCUCGGUAGCUCGCUGGGCUCAUAACCCAGAGGUCAGAGGUUCAAAUCCUCUCCCCGCUA